AGGCAUUAUACCGUGUGUGUAUUUAUGAGUGUUUGCUACCUGGAAAGGAGCUGAAAUCUUGUACAUUUAUAGCCUGUUCUCUCUUUCUGCUUAAAGACAAACUUCAAUGCAAAACAAAGAAAAGCAAAGUGAACCUCAGUGUGGACGGAAGAGCUCCAGUGCAGAGCUAAAGGAGAGGUAAUGAGAACCGAGUUGGAGGGAAGGAUGAAAGAUCUCGGCUUGUGUUGUUUCAGGUCCCGUGGGUGAGAGCGAGGCUAGUCUUUUUUUCCUGCUGAAGAGAAAUCUCUGAAUCUCGUAGAGAUCCACGUCGCUCGCGGACAUGAGGGUGCUGCACCUGGGUCACAAUACUUCACGCAUGACGAGUCACGCGACGGAACCCGCGGGCCACGCGCUCCUCCGCAUUAAAUACACCAGCGCGAGCUGAUGCGCGCGGGGACUCGCGGGGGUCUGACCUGCGGCCGGGAUAUGAGCUCACUUUACUGCCGCGACCGCGAACACACGCCUUCAAGGGAUUGUUUUCGAUCAAUUUUGGCAUUUUUUUGCUUGCCUUAAAACCAGACAGGAAGAUGCGGAAUCACAAUUCUCAUUUCCGUUUUUCAUUUCCGAGUUUUGUUGAUUUCCGUUCUGCUGAUUGCAUUGUAAGUCAGUGUGAUAAUGAAAACAUUAGAGAUGUUUAUACAGGCUAACACUGAUACUAUUCAGAACAAUGUUAGAUAGGCAAUGACAGAUUUUUACAUUUUGACAUUAGCUGAAAUCCUGCUAAUAAACGGCGCUUUAAUGCCUUGAUGGUCUAUAAGUCUAUAUUGUUGUAAUAUAUUUUUAAUACUAAGUCCAUUGACGUAUUUGACUGAAGUUGAUUUAU
ensembl:lncRNA